UCCCUGGUGGUCCAGGAGCUAAGACUCUGCACUUACAAUGCAGGGGGUCCAGCUUCAAUCCCUGGCCAGGGAA
rnacentral:tRNA from 1 species